GCUAUACAUGCAAGUCGAACGCACAGCGAAAGGUGCUUGCACCUUUCAAGUGAGUGGCGAACGGGUGAGUAACACGUGGACAACCUGCCUCAAGGCUGGGGAUAACAUUUGGAAACAGAUGCUAAUACCGAAUAAAACUUAGUGUCGCAUGACACAAAGUUAAAAGGCGCUUCGGCGUCACCUAGAGAUGGAUCCGCGGUGCAUUAGUUAGUUGGUGGGGUAAAGGCCUACCAAGACAAUGAUGCAUAGCCGAGUUGAGAGACUGAUCGGCCACAUUGGGACUGAGACACGGCCCAAACUCCUACGGGAGGCUGCAGUAGGGAAUCUUCCACAAUGGGCGAAAGCCUGAUGGAGCAACGCCGCGUGUGUGAUGAAGGCUUUCGGGUCGUAAAGCACUGUUGUAUGGGAAGAACAGCUAGAAUAGGAAAUGAUUUUAGUUUGACGGUACCAUACCAGAAAGGGACGGCUAAAUACGUGCCAGCAGCCGCGGUAAUACGUAUGUCCCGAGCGUUAUCCGGAUUUAUUGGGCGUAAAGCGAGCGCAGACGGUUUAUUAAGUCUGAUGUGAAAGCCCGGAGCUCAACUCCGGAAUGGCAUUGGAAACUGGUUAACUUGAGUGCAGUAGAGGUAAGUGGAACUCCAUGUGUAGCGGUGGAAUGCGUAGAUAUAUGGAAGAACACCAGUGGCGAAGGCGGCUUACUGGACUGCAACUGACGUUGAGGCUCGAAAGUGUGGGUAGCAAACAGGAUUAGAUACCCUGGUAGUCCACACCGUAAACGAUGAACACUAGGUGUUAGGAGGUUUCCGCCUCUUAGUGCCGAAGCUAACGCAUUAAGUGUUCCGCCUGGGGAGUACGACCGCAAGGUUGAAACUCAAAGGAAUUGACGGGGACCCGCACAAGCGGUGGAGCAUGUGGUUUAAUUCGAAGCAACGCGAGAACCUUACCAGGUCUUGACUUCCUUUGAAGCUUUUAGAGAUAGAAGUGUUCUCUUCGGAAAAAAGUGACGGGGGGGGCUGGCCGUCGUCAGCUCGUGUCGUGAGAUGUUGGGGUAAGUCCCGCACGAGCGCACCCUAUGUAGUUGCAGCAUCAA
rnacentral:rRNA from 1 species